rnacentral:miRNA from 1 species
UACUGGAUAGAUAAGUGAUAGA